rnacentral:rRNA from 1 species
UGGGGAAUAUUGGACAAUGGGCGAAAGCCUGAUCCAGCCAUGCCGCGUGUGUGAAGAAGGUCUUCGGAUUGUAAAGCACUUUAAGUUGGGAGGAAGGGCAGUAAGCGAAUACCUUGCUGUUUUGACGUUACCGACAGAAUAAGCACCGGCUAACUCUGUGCCAGCAGCCGCGGUAAUACAGAGGGUGCAAGCGUUAAUCGGAAUUACUGGGCGUAAAGCGCGCGUAGGUGGGUCGUUAAGUUGAAUGUGAAAGCCCCGGGCUCAACCUGGGAACUGCAUCCAAAACUGGCGAGCUAAAGUAGGGCAGAGGGUGGUGGAAUUUCGUGUGUAGAGGUGAAAUGCGUAGAUAUAGGAAGGAACACAAGUGGCGAAGGAGACCACCUGGGCUCAUACUGACACUGAGGUGCGAAAGCGUGGGGAGCAAACAGG